UGCAUUUAAGCUGGUUUCCACAAUCCAGCCCACCACAUAAAAGGCUCCAAUUGCUUGAGUGAGUAAACUCAUUUACAUUGAAGGCCCAUUGUUUGAUUUGAGGCCCACCUUCGAUUACGGGUCCCAAAAGAGUGACACAAACAAAGCUCUUCACCUUUGGAUGACCUCCUUUUAGUUUUGGUCUCAUAAUUUUGAAAAAAAAUUAGAAAAGAUGUUUGGUUCAGUUUUUAAAAUAUAAUUUGAAUUAAAUUUUUUUUUUUAAAAAUUGGUUAAUGAAAUUUUAACACUUGUUUGGCAUCCAAGUUUUUGGGACUAUCAGCCUAAAAUAGCCACAUGAGACAAAAUAGGCUAAAAAAUCAAUAAGAUAAAAUGUCAUAUCCAAACUAUAAUCAUUUUAUUUUUUCUCUCAUAAAAGUCUAAGAAGUCAAAAAAUCUAUCUCAAAUGAAGCUUUUUUUAGCCCUAGGCUAAGAGUCAAAAAGUCUGAGUUCAGAUCUUCUCCUUGCAAGCCAUACUUGCAAGCAUCCUUGCAACAGUUGAGAUCAGCUGUUGCACAUCCAACAGCUGAGAUUAAAAAAAAAAAAAAAAAGAAAUUUGAAAUUUCACUCAAAUCCCGCCCGUUGCUAGUUAUACAUUGAAGCACAAUCACUCAGCCAAGCUAUAUUUCACUUAGCCUCGCACUCAGUCGCCCUCCUCCACCGAACCCACCUUCACCGGCGACCAGUCCCCUAGACGGUACCGGCAACGACCAGUCCCCCAGACAGCACCGACGACCCACUCCAGCCCUAAUAUUCUCUGCUUCGUGAACCAUAGCUCCAUCGCGACCACCACCGGCUGAGCGAAGAAAUUUGUUCAUGAGGAACCAGGUUUAAAAAAUGGCUUCUUCUUCUAACAUUAGCAACAUAAGAUUACAACCGAGGCUGUGCAAUUGUGCAAGAACCGCUGCCAUACAUAUUGUAAGAACCAAUGACAAUGGGAAUCAAGAGCGUUUGUUCUUUGUUUGUCCAUCAAAAUAUAGUAACACUCCCACUCCCCAUUGCAAUUACUUCAAGUUCGUGGAUGAAGAUGAUGAAGAUGUUACGUUUACGUCUAGAAUCCGUUCCAACUGUACAACUUGUCAUGCUAUAACAGUCGAAGACUUUAACAGUAUAAGGACGAGGCUUGACUAUAUGGAAAAUGACUAUGGUCGAAGACUUCAAAGGAUGAAAAAUAAUAUAAAAGUGAUGGUGUAUUUCAUUGUAUUUUCUAUCAUUUUGUACUUUAUGAUGUAACUUUUGUACUUUAUUCUAUUUUGGGGAACUGAAUGGAAGUUUGUAUCAUUUUGGGUUUUAUGUACUUCAUCAUGAACUAACUUAUGUUUAUGUAUUUUGGGAAACAUUUUGGGUUUUAUGUACUUCAUGAUGUAACUUUCGUUAUCUAUUAUGGAAUGAAUACACAUUUGUUGAUUUC